rnacentral:tRNA from 1 species
GGAGCUGUGCCUGAAGCCAUAGGGCCACUUUGAUAGAGUGAAACAUGGAGGUUAAAGUCCUCCCAUCUCCU